rnacentral:lncRNA from 1 species
GGCUUUCCCAUAAUUCCACUAUGAUAUGCUUGGACUACAAAGAAGGAGCUCUUGAAAGACACAACAGCACAGCAGUUCUUCCUUGCAGUAGCCCCUCCCAGCAGCCACCACUGACCUGCUGUAGCUUCACUCACUCCACAGUAAGGAUCCACAGUGAGGAAAGACGCCUUUUCUCUUCCCUUCCUGCCUCUUUUCUUAGCCCCAGGCUUGAAUCUGCCUUCGAGUAACUCAAAAUGAGGAAAAGAUCAACACAAAUCAAUCCGCACAAAGGACAACUUGUGGUUCCUUUGGAACUUUGAACAUUCCAUACUACCUGGCACUACUUUGGAAAGCAAAUGUACAGACAGAACUGUAAUCCAGAGCCAAGUGAUAGGGGAUGUCAGUCUGUGCCAGUUUAGAUUGCCUGAUUUGUUACUGAUUCACUUCAGUAGCUAAAGAGAGACUCCUUAUGGGUGAGCAGGUGUAGGUCAUGCGCAUAUUCCUUAAUGGUGUAUACAGAAGGCUAUGAAGAUACUUCAGGCCUCAGUGUCCCAAUUAUUGUGAGAAAUUAGUUUUCUGACAGUUGUAGGAAGAGGAGCUGCCGCCAUCCUGAGAACUCCACAUGCAGUGCCUCUCCCACACACACACACAGUCACCAGUUGAGAGCUCCUCAGGAAGCAUGGUCAAGGGUCCUCCGGGUAGCAUCAGCCUGUUAGGAUGAAGAGCAAAUGUCCGUGUGUGACACUGUGGUCCUGUUGGAAGUAGUGCAGAGACAGUACCCAUAGUGCAUGUGCUUCACGCCAGCAACUCUCCCUCCGUUACCUCACUUCCUCACAGCAUCCACAGGAGACAGCUCCCACCAUCAAUGGGGAUGAUAAUUUGGGACAAUGGUAUGGUCAGUGGCUCGCUGGAAGUGGCACUGCCUUUUAGCAGUAAGGGCAGAGGCUGUCCUGUCUCUCCAUAUGCUGUGGGGUAACCUGGCUAGUAAGGGUGCUCUGUGUCGUUAUUGGCAUGUGGGAAGAGAUGAAUGAUGAGCACCAGCUUACUUGUUGGGAGACCAGUGCGCAGUGCCCGCAGCACUAGCUGUGACUAGGCUUGCCUUUUGUGGUGAACCAGUACUCCUUGACAGGGUGCGGACUCUUGAGUUAGAGGCUGUCUGAAGUAGAAGGGCGGGUAGCAGUGAAAACCUCAGAUGUGAAGAGGCAAGGCAGGCCACUCUCCACAACCAUGAGGUUUCCCUGUGAGAGCCCCAGGCUGAACUACACAGCCUACAGAGAACUCUCUAGUUUUAGUCUGAGGCACAGAGGAACCCAGGACACUAAGUACCUCCCUCCCUGGGGCUGUCUGCCAAUGGCGAGUCAGUGUAAACUUGGAAUUGCCACAGCACACAGCCCGCAGGGGAGGUGCUAGGAGCUGUGCUGUGGGCAUGCAUGCUUGAGGCCACAAGCAUUUUGUGGAAAGUGCUUUGUAGUUUGUUCUCAGGCUGUGCUGUGAGGGCCGCCUUAACC